rnacentral:other from 1 species
AAAUCCCUGCUGUGUCCGUUAGGAACUAAACAAUUGUUGAACCAACACCAUUUUAAAGGGACCCCGCACUUCCUAAACGUUAGCGCGUUCUGGAGAGGGGACCCGCAUGAAUGAACACCGGUUCAUACAUGAACGUUCCAACGGCACAAUGCGGGGAUUUU